CCAAAUUGUGGGUUAUGCCAGCUAUGCAAGAGGGAGCCUGAAUCUGCGGCACACAUGCUUUUCCAAUGCCGGUACUCACUCAGAGUAUGGGCGACCCGUAAAGAUGGGGUUUGAUGUACCAGAACUAAACUUUGCGGUUUGGGGAGGUUUCCGCAUGGUUCGGAAUGGUGGACAUCCACUGUCCUUCAUCGCGGUCAUCGGAGAAUGGCAGUUUCUUCGCUCCUCAUGCUCGUCUGUUAGGAGAUCUGGAAUGAGAGGAACGCUAGAGUUUUUAGAAGCAAGUCAUCCCUACCUUCUUUGCUAAUUAAGAACAUCCACUUGGAGGCUAAAAAUUGGGUACUUGCGGGGGGAAAACAUUUGGGCGCUCUAAUGCCGCGAGAGUAG
rnacentral:rRNA from 1 species